AGAGUUUGAUCCUGGCUCAGAACGAACGCUGGCGGCAGGUCUAACACAUGCAAGUCGAGCGAUUAAAGCCCCUUCGGGGGUGUAUAGAGCGGCGAACGGGUGAGUAACAGGUGGAUAAUCUGCCUUCCGGUGGGGGACAACCCCGCGAAAGUGGGGCUAAUACCGCAUGCGAUCAUCCCGCCUCGGCGGGAUGAAGAAAGGCGCUUUCGGGCGUCGCCGGAAGAUGGGUCCGCCCCCCAUUAGCUAGUUGGUGGGAUAAUAGCCCACCAAGGCCGUGAUGGGUAGCCGAGCUGAGAGGUUGAUCGGCCACACUGGAACUGAGAUACGGUCCAGACACCUACGGGUGGCAGCAGUGAAGAGUAUUGCGCAAUGGGCGAAAGCCUGACGCAGCCAUGCCGCGUGAGUGAUGAAGGCCUUCGGGUCGUAAAGCUCUUUUCUGAGGGAAGAAACGUCGGAGGAGGUAAUGCCUCCGGCUUGACGGUACCUCAGGAAUAAGGAACGGCUAACUCCGUGCCAGCAGCCGCGGUAAGACGGAGGUUCCUAGCGUUGUUCGGAAUUACUAGGCGUAAAGGGAGCGCAGGCGGAAGGGUCAGUGGAAAGUGGAAGCCCGGGGCUCAACCUCGGAAGUGCUUUCCAUACUGCUCUUCUUGAGUUCGCGAGAGGAAGGCGGAAUUCAGGGUGUAGCGGUGAAUGCUUAGAUAUCCUGAGGAACACCAAUGGCGAAAGCAGCUUUCUGGCGCGAAACUGACGCUGAGGCUCGAAAGCGUGGGGAGCGAACGGGAUUAGAUACCCCGGUAGUCCACGCCGUAAACGUUGUGCACUAGGUGCGGGAGGUAUCGACCCCUUCCGUGCCGGAGCUAACGCAUUAAGUGCACCGCCUGGGGAGUACGGUCGCAAGACUGAAACUCAAAGGAAUUGACGGGGGCCCGCACAAGCGGUGUAGCAUGUGGUUUAAUUCGAGGCAACGCGAAGAACCUUACCCAGGCUUGACAUCCCGAGACCGCCCGUGAAAGCGGGCUUUCCCUUCGGGGACUCGGUGACAGGUGUUGCAUGGCUGUCGUCAGCUCGUGUCGUGAGAUGUUGGGUUAAGUCCCGCAACGAGCGCAACCCUUGUCCUUAGUUACCAGCGGUUCGGCCGGGCACUCUAGGGAGACUGCCGGUGAUAAGCCGGAGGAAGGUGGGGACGACGUCAAGUCAUCAUGGCCCUUACGCCUGGGGCUACACACGUGCUACAAUGGCCGGUACAGUGAGUCGCAAUACCGCGAGGUGGAGCCAAUCUCAAAAAGCCGGUCUCAGUUCGGAUUGGAGUCUGCAAUUCGACUCCAUGAAGUCGGAAUCGCUAGUAAUCGCGUAUCAGCCACGACGCGGUGAAUACGUUCCCGGGCCUUGUACACACCGCCCGUCACAUGACCCGGGCCGGGUGCACCCGAAGUCGCUGGCCUAACCCGCAAGGGAAGGAGGCGCCGAAGGUGUGUUUGGUAAGGGGGAUGAAGC
rnacentral:rRNA from 1 species